UACGUAGGGGGCAAGCGUUUAUCCGGAAUCAUUGGGCGUAAAGCGCGUGUAGGCGGUUCCGUAAGUCCGCUCUGAAAGCCCAGGGCUCAACCCUGGGAGGCGGGUGGAUACUACGGAACUGGAGUACGGAAGAGGAGAUUGGAAUUCCUGGUGAGCGGUGAAAUGCGCAGAUAUCAGGAGGAACACCAACAGCGAAGGCAGAUCUCUGGGACGUUACUGACGCUGAGACGCGAAAGCGUGGGGAGCAAACAGG
rnacentral:rRNA from 1 species